AAUGUAUACUGGGGGAGUCUUCCUUAAGACCGAGAUAUAGAUAUAAUCUAUGGACCCUUUGAACCUGUUGAGUUAGCACUCGCGUAGGGAAGUAUUGGGGACCUUGA
rnacentral:ncRNA from 2 species